GAUGAACGCUGGCGGUAUGCUUAACACAUGCAAGUCGAACGAAAUACGAUGGGGUUUACUCUAUCGUAUGGCAGUGGCGGACGGGUGCGUAACGCGUGGGCGACCUACCUUCGAGUGGGGGAUAACCUUCCGAAAGGAGGGCUAAUACCGCAUGACAUCCCGUGUUUGGAUACACGGACAUCAAAGCCGGGGAUCGCAAGACCUGGCGCUUGGAGAGGGGCCCGCGUCCGAUUAGCUAGUUGGUGAGGUAACGGCUCACCAAGGCAACGAUCGGUAUCCGGCCUGAGAGGGCGGACGGACACACUGGGACUGAGACACGGCCCAGACUCCUACGGGAGGCAGCAGUGGGGAAUUGUUCGCAAUGGGCGCAAGCCUGACGACGCAACGCCGCGUGGAGGAUGAAGAUCUUCGGGUCGGUAAACUCCUUUCGACCGAGAUGAAUUCCUGCCGGCCUAACAUGCCGGCAGGGUGACAGUAUCGGGAGAAGCAG
rnacentral:rRNA from 1 species